AGGGUUUGAUCAUGGCUCAGGAUGAACGCUGGCGGUAUGCCUUAUACAUGCAAGUCGUACGAGAGUUUUUAACUCAAGUGGCGGACGGGUGAGUAACACGUAAGAAUUUACCUUUAGGAGGGGGACAACAAUCGGAAACGGCUGCUAAUACCCCAUAUGCUUUCGAGUGAAAUGGAUUUUCCGCCUAGAGAGAAGCUUGCGGCUGAUUAGCUUGUUGGUAGAGUAAUAGCCUACCAAGGCGACGAUCAGUAUCUGGUUUGAGAGGACGAUCAGACACACUGGAACUGAGACACGGUCCAGACUCUUACGGGAGGCAGCAGUAGGGAAUUUUCCGCAAUGGGCGAAAGCCUGACGGAGCAAUACCGCGUGAGGGAUGACUGCCUAUGGGUUGUAAACCUCUUUUUUCAGGGAGGAAUUAAUGACGUGUACCUGAAGAAUAAGCAUCGGCUAACUCCGUGCCAGCCGCCGCGGUAAUAC
rnacentral:rRNA from 1 species